rnacentral:rRNA from 1 species
GACGAACCGAGCGAACGUUGUUCGGAAUCACUGGGCUUAAAGGGCGCGUAGGCGGGUGCUCAAGUCCGGGGUGAAAUCCCACAGCUCAACUGGUGGAACUGCCUCGGAUACUGGGCGUCUCGAGGGUGGCAGGGGUAUGCGGAACUAUCGGUGGAGCGGUGAAAUGCGUUGAUAUCGAUAGGAACUCCGGUGGCGAAGGCGGGUCUCUGGCCGAUACUGACGCUGGAGGAGCGAAAGCGUGGGGAGCGAACAGG